rnacentral:rRNA from 1 species
CCUACGGGUGGCAGCAGUAGGGAAUCUUCCACAAUGGGGGAAACCCUGAUGCAGCGACGCCGCGUGAGUGAUGAAGUUUUUCGGAAUGUAAACUUCUAUCAGCAGGGAAGAAAAUGAGGGUACCUAACUAUGAAGCCCCUGCCAAUUACGUGCCAGAAGCCGCGGUCAAACGAAGGGGGCACGCGUUAUCCGGAUUUAAUGGGUGUAAAGGGAGCGUAGGCGGUUUAGCAAGUCAGAAGUGAAAGCCCGGGGCUCAACCCCGGGACGGCAUUUGAAACUGGUGAACUAGAGUGCAGGAGAGGAAAGUGGAAUUCCUAGUGUAGCGGUGAAAUGCGGAGAGAUUAGGAGGAACACCAGUGGCGAAGGCGACUUUCUGGACUGUAAAUGACGCUGAGGUGCGAAAGCGUGGGGAGCAAACAGGAUUAGAUACCCCAGUAGUC